GUGAGCGUAAUAAGGCCGGUGAACUGACUCCGAGGAGCAGUAGUCUUGCCGAGGGACUCGGAGAGAAUGUGGGCUCUCGCGACAUGGAGAGAGAACCUGGGAAGUCCGUGCCUGUUGUCGCGGUUGUGACUGAACCUCGAUUUACUCAGCGAUAUAGGGAAUAUCUGGAGAAGCAGAAACUCUUGGAUAGACGGCACCGUGUGCAAAAGAUGCCGGAUGGCACCGUGGCGCUACCGGUGCUGGGAGAGACCCUCCCCGAGCAGCACCUGCGGGAGCUGACCAGUCGCGUGGCCCCAGGCAGCACCUGUGUGCUGACCCAGCUCCUGGAUCCCGUUCCUUCAAAGAAGGUCCAGGGUUUUUCACCUGCCCAAAGAUUGUGUCUUGAGGUGAGUCGCUGGGUGGAAGGUCGCGGAGUCAAGUGGUCCGCUGAGUUGGAGGCUGAUUUGCCCCGAUCUUGGCAACGGCAUGGGGACCUCUUGUUGCUGAGUGAAGACUGUUUUCAAGGCAAGCAAUGGAAAAGUCUGGAACCAGAACUCUGGGAGACUGUUGCCUCCGCACUUGGUGUCCAGCGUUUGGCAAAACGAGGGCGGGUAUCACCGGAUGGCACUCGAACUCCAGCAGUGACUCUGCUGCUGGGCGACCAUGGCUGGGUAGAGCAUGUGGAUAAUGGUAUCCGAUAUAAGUUUGACGUGACCCAGUGUAUGUUCUCCUUCGGAAACAUCACAGAGAAGCUGCGAGUGGCAUCGCUGUCCUGUGCUGGAGAAGUGCUAGUGGAUCUCUAUGCAGGGAUUGGUUAUUUCACAUUACCCUUCCUAGUUCAUGCUGGUGCUGCCUUCCUUCAUGCCUGUGAGUGGAACCCCCAUGCUGCAGCUGCUCUGAGAAAUAACCUUGAGAUCAAUGGAGUAGCAGAUCGGUGCCAAAUUCAUUUUGGGGAUAACAGGAAACUGAAGCUCUCAAACGUUGCAGAUAGGGUGAACCUGGGGCUGAUUCCCAGCUCUGAAGAAGGCUGGCCCAUUGCCUGCCAAGUGCUACGGCAGGAUGCUGGGGGUAUUCUGCAUAUCCACCAAAAUGUGGAAUCUUUCCCAGGGAGGAAUCCCCAGCCUCCUGGAAGCAGCAAAAUAGAGAAAGAACAUUGGCCUUAUCCUCAGCAAGUUAUCACCAACCAGUGCAAAAAUGGAGCUACCAGGGAUUCCAGGAGGAAAAUGCUGUCACCAGCCACCAAGCCAGAGUGGCAAAGGUGGGCAGAAUCUGCAGAAACUCGAAUUGCCUAUCUUCUUCAGCAGGUGCAUGGGAAACCAUGGAAGACACGAAUCCUGCACAUCCAACCAGUGAAAUCCUAUGCCCCCCAUGUGGAUCACAUAGUCCUGGAUCUGGAAUGCCGCCCCUGUCCUUUAGUAGGCUAGAGGAGGUGGAUCCUGGGACACAAGGGAUCCAGGUUUGAGUGGCCCUUAAUGCAUCAGCUCAGGCUGAGCUCUCACUCCUUUUGUCUCCCGGUGAUCUAUUUUAAUAUUUUGUGGCCCUGAAAGCAAGCUGUAGACCAGUCCAGAUCAUUUCAUUUGUCUGCCAGUGAUCAUACUGAGAAUGAACUACAUAUCUGGGAGAAGCAGCGUAGCCCAUUGAAAUGAGGCUCAUCUGUGCAAUUAUGAAUUCCAAAUUCUGACCUCAUUUCUGACCUUUCAAUAUUCUUUGGCCUUGGAUUUCCUUAUUUGCAAAAUGAAGGUUUCCUUGAACUGUCUCACAUGGCUAUUGUCUAAUAAGCAGUUGUACACAGGGCAUUGGUUAUUUUAGAGUGAAAGACACAGUACUGUUUCAAAAUCACUCCUGCUACAAUAUGGAAAAUCAACUGGAGGAGGGCCAAGAUGGAAACAGGGAGAUUGGCGAGAAGGCUUCUGUGGUUGUCCAGAUGUUUCAACUGUUGUUAAUGCUGCCCUCUAGUGAAGAUGCUGUGGAAAUAAAAACUCAUUCAGCCUUGAACUAUUUUA